GUGGGGUAAUGGCCUACCAAGGCGACGACGGGUAGCCGGCCUGAGAGGGCGACCGGCCACACUGGGACUGAGACACGGCCCAGACUCCUACGGGAGGCAGCAGUGGGGAAUAUUGCGCAAUGGGCGAAAGCCUGACGCAGCGACGCCGCGUGAGGGAUGAAGGCCUUCGGGUUGUAAACCUCUUUCAGCAGGGACGAAGCGAAAGUGACGGUACCUGCAGAAGAAGCACCGGCUAACUACGUGCCAGCAGCCGCGGUAAUACGUAGGGUGCAAGCGUUGUCCGGAUUUAUUGGGCGUAAAGAGUUCGUAGGCGGUUUGUCGCGUCGGAUGUGAAAACCCAGGGCUCAACCCUGGGCCUGCACUCGAUACGGGCAGACUAGAGUAUGGCAGGGGAGACUGGAAUUCCUGGUGUAGCGGUGAAAUGCGCAGAUAUCAGGAGGAACACCGGUGGCGAAGGCGGGUCUCUGGGCCAAAACUGACGCUGAGGAGCGAAAGCGUGGGGAGCGAACAGGAUUAGAUACCCUGGUAGUCCACGCCGUAAACGUUGGGCGCUAGGUGUAGGGGACCUACCACGUCCUCUGUGCCGCAGCUAACG
rnacentral:rRNA from 1 species